AGAUUGAACGCUGGCGGCAUGCCUUACACAUGCAAGUCGAACGGCAGCACGGGGGCAACCCUGGUGGCGAGUGGCGAACGGGUGAGUAAUAUAUCGGAACGUGCCCUGGAGUGGGGGAUAACUAGUCGAAAGAUUAGCUAAUACCGCAUACGAUCUACGGAUGAAAGUGGGGGAUUCGCAAGAACCUCAUGCUCCUGGAGCGGCCGAUAUCUGAUUAGCUAGUUGGUGGGGUAAAGCCUACCAAGGCUACGAUCAGUAGCUGGUCUGAGAGGACGACCAGCCACACUGGAACCGAGACACGGUCCAGACUCCUACGGGAGGCAGCAGUGGGGAAUUUUGGACAUGGGCGCAAGCCUGAUCCAGCAAUGCCGCGUGAGUGAAGAGGUCCUUCGGUUAGUAAGUC
rnacentral:rRNA from 1 species